CCCAUGGGUGCCUGGCCUUGUGGGCUGCGCCAUGCUGAGAUGCCAGGCUCCUGCGCCACCUUACCCUUCCGGGCGAGCUUUUACCCCAGGUUCUCCAGAUCUUGAAGAUUCCUCCUGGCUGCUACGUUGUAAGCCACCAUACCAUGCUCCUGAGAUGUAAACAGGACCAAAAUGAAAUAAACCAGCAACACCCAACCACCGAUAUAACCCAGUUCUCCGAGAGCGAUGAGGAUAAACGACGGCUUGGCUCUGGGAAAAGGAGAGAGACAAAAAAAGCCGGUGUCUGCGCUGGAUUUCCGUCAGCUGCCGGGCUGGGGACGACUCAACAGAAAUAGAAGACUCCAAACAAAGAUAUACAGACUCCCAGCCUGUAUCCGGCUGGCUCAUUCAAGGGGGGAAAACAACGUACAUUGUCCUGGAAUUCCACCACUGCAGCUUAGGAAGACCUUAAGCCACAGAUAGAAAACCUAUAGCCCUCCAGAUGUGGCUGGACUACAAUUCCCAGCUUUCCUGAACCAUAGGCUGUGCUGGGUUGGGGCUGAUGGGAGAUGGAGUCCAACACCAGCUGGAAAAAGCCAGUUCCCCCUCCUUUCCAGCACAGUGCCAGUAAGCGCAUUUGAGAUGUGUUCCCUGAUUGGUUGGGACAUGUGUCUAGGACAGGGUGGGAAAGUGACUGGACUACAACUCCCAUCUUCCAUGAGCCAUGCUGGAAGUUGGAGUCUGACAACUUCUGGAGAUGUCCUCUAUCAGUAUGCCUAGGAAAACAGGGCUCCUGGGGCAGAGGGAAUUUCAGCCACUGCUGCUGGUGGUUUUGCAUGGUGAGGAUUGGAGGAGAGGCAGCUGAGAAGAGCCAGGGGAGCCUUAUUCUACCUUGCAUGUUCUCACGAUGACUUCAGCCUCUUUUAGUGCUUCUCACACACACAUGAACCAUAUUAAAGCAAAAAUCCCUGCAUGUAGAAACAUAUUGUGCCAAGGCAAAGGGGUGAGCAGACCUCUUGCCCCUGAGGUGCUGGCUUUCUUCAUGCAGGGGGUUUUGUUUUGAUUUUUAUUGGACAGGGGAGAUUCAUGUGACCCCUCCCCCUGCAAUAAAACCAUCAUGCACAGUGGCAUUUUGAAGUGGUCUGUGUUAGCGGUGAUUAUAGAAUGAAUCUGAUUUUUAGAGAGGGUUGUGUUGUUUCUGAUCCAGAUACACAAUAUUGCCUCUCUGUACCAAUGGGUUCCUGGGGUUACACAGUUUGCAAACUUGGCUUCUUGCAAUCAUAAUGGAGUUGGCGUGCCCUGGGAUUCGCCAGACUGACUUCUCCCAUGUUCCCCAAGCGAGUUCCCAGAGCACCCAAGAGGGGAAAGGUGCAAUUCGAAUGCGCCUCCUUACCCAUUCCUUGGAAACAGUGCCGACCAACCCCUCCAGCUUCCUGGUUCAGCCCUUCCUCUGUCUCUAAUAAAUGCUCAUGUAGCCUGAAAAGCUAAUAAAUUGUCUUUGAACACUG